rnacentral:rRNA from 1 species
GACGAACGCUGGCGGCGUGCUUAACACAUGCAAGUCGAACGAAAAGAGGGAAAGAGCUUGCUCUUUCCGGAAUUGAGUGGCAAACGGGUGAGUAACACGUAAACAACCUGCCUUCAGGAUGGGGACAACAGACGGAAACGACUGCUAAUACCGAAUAAGUUCCAAGAGCCGCAUGGCCCAUGGAAGAAAAGGUGGCCUCUACCUGUAAGCUAUCGCCUGAAGAGGGGUUUGCGUCUGAUUAGCUGGUUGGAGGGGUAACGGGCCCGACCAAGGCGACGAUCAGUAGCCGGUCUGAGAGGAUGAACGGCCACACUGGAACUGAGACACGGUCCAGACUCCUACGGGAGGCAGCAGUGGGGAAUCUUCCGCAAUGGGCGAAAGCCUGACGGAGCAACGCCGCGUGAGUGAUGACGGCCUCGGUU